rnacentral:piRNA from 1 species
UCCUCUAGGUGACAGGAUAAAGUGUG